rnacentral:rRNA from 1 species
AGAGUUUGAUCAUGGCUCAGAACGAACGUUAGCGGCGCGCUUAACACAUGCAAGUCGAGCGAGAAAGGGGCAACCCCGGUAAAGCGGCGCACGGGUGAGUAACACGUAGGUAAUCUACCCCCAGGUGGUGGAUAACCUUCCGAAAGGAGGGCUAAUACAGCAUGAGACCACGACCCCGCAAGGGGAUGAGGUCAAAGCCGGCCUCUUCAUGAAAGCUGGCGCCAGGGGAUGAGUCUGCGGCCCAUCAGCUAGUUGGUAGGGUAAUGGCCUACCAAGGCGAAGACGGGUAGCUGGUCUGAGAGGAUGAUCAGCCACACUGGAACUGAGACACGGUCCAGACUCCUACGGGAGGCAGCAGUGGGGAAUCUUGCGCAAUGGGCGAAAGCCUGACGCAGCGACGCCGCGUGAGUGAUGAAGGCCUUCGGGUUGUAAAGCUCUGUGGAGGGGGACGAAUAAGUCGUGGCCAACAUCCACGAUGAUGACGGUACCCUUUUAGCAAGCACCGGCUAACUCUGUGCCAGCAGCCGCGGUAAGACAGAGGGUGCAAACGUUGUUCGGAAUUACUGGGCGUAAAGCGCGUGUAGGCAGCCUCGCAAGUCGGAUGUGAAAGCCCUGGGCUCAACCUAGGAAGUGCAUUCGAAACUGCGAGGCUGGAGUCCUGGAGAGGAAGGCGGAAUUCUCGGUGUAGAGGUGAAAUUCGUAGAUAUCGAGAGGAACACCGGUGGCGAAGGCGGCCUUCUGGACAGUGACUGACGCUGAGACGCGAAAGCGUGGGGAGCAAACAGGAUUAGAUACCCUAGUAGUCC